GCAAGUAUAGUUUAAUUAAAACAUUAGUCUGUGAUCCUAAAAAUAGAAGUUAAAUUCUUCUUGCCUGCC
rnacentral:tRNA from 1 species